CAGUCGCCGCGGUAAUACGGAGGGUGCGAGCGUUAGUCGGAAUUACUGGGCGUAAAGCGUACGCAGGCGGUUUGUUAAGUCAGAUGUGAAAUCCCCGAGCUUAACUCGGGAACUGCAUUUGAAACUGGCAGGCUAGAGUCUCGUAGAGGGGGGUAGAAUUCCAGGUGUAGCGGUGAAAUGCGUAGAGAUCUGGAGGAAUACCGGUGGCGAAGGCGGCCCCCUGGACGAAGACUGACGCUCAGGUACGAAAGCGUGGGGAGCAAACAGGAUUAGAUACCCGUGUAGUCCCUGUCUCUUAUAC
rnacentral:rRNA from 1 species